rnacentral:rRNA from 1 species
GCUUAAUUGGUGCGCAGAAGCGGGGUAAUACGUGAGUGGCAAGAGUGUGCCGGACUGAGUGGGCGGAAGCGUCGGGCAGGCGGCCUCUUAAGUCUGAUGUGAAAGCCCCCGGCUCAACCGGGGAGGGCCAUUGGAAACUGGGAGGCUUGAGUAUAGGAGAGAAGAGUGGAAUUCCACGUGUAGCGGUGAAAUGCGUAGAGAUGUGGAGGAACACCAGUGGCGAAGGCGACUCUUUGGCCUAUAACUGACGCUGAGGCGCGAAAGCGUGGGGAGCAAACAGGAUUAGAUACCCGAGUAGUC